UGUGUGGUAGACAUUGCCUGAUAGAUUGC
rnacentral:piRNA from 1 species